CUGACCUCUGACCAUCCCACUAAGCGGUCUUACGACGCUGGUUAUCAACUCAGUAAAUCAACCCAGAGCUUCUCAGUCUGGCUGUGAGCGCGUUCACAUGAACAGGGAGGUGUUUACAGCAUCUGACCAACCACAGACAUGGACACGUCUACUGUCAGCAGACAGACAGGCAGAGAGACACAUUUAACAAAGGAAGAGUAAACUAUAUUACACAAAUACAAAGAAGUUAAACACUUAAUCAGAUUAACAGUAACAGCUGAAGCUGCUAA